rnacentral:lncRNA from 10 species
UCUCUGCCUGGGAAAGAAAAAGAGCCCAUUUCCAUGGGACGUGCCCUCAUGGGGAGGCACAGCAGACCACCCAAGGCAGCACAUGCAGUGUCCCCGAAGUAAGGAGGGAGUCCUGUGUCCCGAGGUCCCGGGGAUCUGGACUCUGCCAUUGUCCCCUGGUGCAUCUGUACAGCUGUGGUGGGCUAACAUCAUCUCUGGGCUCCAACUUGCCCUUCUGUAAAAUGGGGAGUUUGGACCAAGUCAUUCUGAAGGUCUUUUCCAGCUUUAAUGACACGUGUUUUGCAUGUGACCUGGCAGCACAGGGUUCAGAGGAGGGAGAGAUCAGAGUGACUAGUGCAGGCUUCCUGGGGAACCAUUUGAGCUUUGAAGGUGGGGAAGAGGAAUGUCAGAGAGUGGGCAAAAUACAACAGGAAAGGUCCAAAUUCACCCUCUGAGGGCCCGGGGCACGGGGGCAGCCUGCUCUCCUCCUGGGGCCCUGUUCCCUGUGGGGACUGGAAGAGAGGCUUUGAGUCUAGGGCCUGGGGCAGCCAGGACUGACGGGGGUGCAGUCCUAGAAGGGUCGGCAGUCACGGUGGCCCACCAUGGCAUCUCCGUAUCCUUGCUGCAUGCUGCACCCACUCCAGCUGCCAGAGCACGGAGGCAGAGACGUGGGAGCCGAUGAAGGUCGCACGCCAGCCUCCCACCUGUGAGACAAAGGGCCCUGUCACUGGAAGCCACGUCCAGCCUGGCCCCGCAGGAGCCAGGGCUCUGCGCCUAACGGAGGACUGAUGGGAAAGGGAAGGCUGGCAGCAGUGAGGCCAAUGUCUUCACAGGUUUUUUGACCUUGGCAAUGUUCCCGUCAGACUGCAGAAGAAUUGACUAUUCCCGUUCAGGUAGAUGAUGACCGGCCCCAUAAACAGCCACCAAGGGUCACCCUCUCCCUCCCCAGCCCUGAAGGCCAAGAAAUGGGACUGGGCUCCUUGGAUUUAUGACCUUCUGGCUCCUGCAGAGAGAGGAGGACUGGGGCUUGACAAGGACACG